rnacentral:rRNA from 1 species
UCAUAUGCUUGUCUCAAAGAUUAAGCCAUGCAUGUCUC